CUUCUAAGAGGGACCAAGCAGAUAUCUGUCGAGCUCAAGGAGGAAGAUGUUUUUAUGGGAAAUGUGUCGGAAAUUAUACGCAACGCGGAUACUGUACCCCUCGCAGCGUUUGCUGUUUUAGGAAGAGGUGGAUAUAAUGUCUCAGCUGACAAGAUCAUCAUAGCCUGCUCCACUGCCCACCUCUCAAGCUCCACCCUCAGAACUUUCUCCAAAUGAAAGAAUUAUCAAAUGUUCUUCAAUUAAAUGCUGCAAAAUUCAUCUUUGCUUUCCAUGCAUUAAACUGCUUUGCUUAAUAAAAGCCACAAUGCAAUG